UAGGGAAUCUUCCACAAUGGACGCAAGUCUGAUGGAGCAACGCCGCGUGAGUGAAGAAGAUUUUCGGAUCGUAAAACUCUGUUGUUAGAGAAGAACACGAGUGAGAGUAACUGUUCAUUCGAUGACGGUAUCUAACCAGCAAGUCACGGCUAACUACGUGCCAA
rnacentral:rRNA from 1 species